ensembl:ncRNA lncRNA:CR46113 long non-coding RNA:CR46113
AGCGUUUGUAUACCGAUGAUCUCAUGCCACUCGUUUUUCUUAUUUGAGUUUGGCAAACUUUUUGUUUGCCAGACUGACCGAAAACUCCCUGAAAUUGCGAUGUGACCAAGUUUGAUAAGCCAAACACAGAAACACAUGCAAAUAUAAUGCAAUUUUCGCUAACACGCUGACCUUCAACAUCAAUUUGCGAAGAGAGCGGAAGAAGAGGCGAAGAAGCAGACCCCGGCAGCGAAAAAAAAGAAAAGGAAGUGGCAAAUUGACAGAGAGCUAAAAAUACACACACACACACACACACGCGCUGAUCCACUAAUACCAGUGCAAAUCGAGCGAUUUUAUAACAUGAAAUUGAAAUUUGCUGCAUGAAAACGAAAUUUGCAACAUGCCGAAAAUGAAACGCAGUCGCUGCCGUAGUCGCAGUCGCCGUCGCUGCCGCAGUUCGAGUUGGAGUUGCAACAACCGCAACCGCGAAGGAGCGUGGAUGAGAAGGAGCGUAAGAGAGAGAGAGAAGCGAGAGUUGCGCGCGCAUUAGAACAACAACAAAUGCAUCGACGGCGUCGACGGCAGCAGCGCUGCCCGCACUUCGGUUUUCAAGUGCAAGGUGCUUGUGUGCCCCACCCCGCGCCACGUCCCUCUCCCCACGAGCUAUUCAACUUCUAUGCACUCUCUUCUGCAAUCCUCUCUCUCUCGCGAUUCUGCCACUGCAGAACAGACCUUGAAAGCAGAUUCUCGAAUUGCUUCCCUCGCUCUUCUUCUUCUGCAACUCCUACACUGAAAGCAACAGGAUUAUUAUUGAG